CUUCGACCAACCUGUAAGCUCACAACAGCUGCUCGUCAUGUCAUUUCCACCAAACAGUUACCAGAAGAAGAAAGUAAAAGAGUUUCAAAUGAGGGGGAGGAAGCCUCGUACUUUUCCACCGUUCUCCAACUAGCCGGAGAGGCUCUGGAGCCUGAGCUUUGUGUCGUCAUGGUGAGCACCGUGGUGAUUCCCAGACCCACUCUGGCCGGCGCGGCGUCCAUGUUGAUCCAGAAGGACACCCAGGACAGGAUGACGGUGAGCAGGCUCGCACAAACUGGGGGAGCGUCAGACCAUCGGCCACCUGCACCGCUCCCACAUCCAGCCAUUCAAAAAUAAGGUCGUUCAUGGUGUAGCCAACUAGGAAACACAGAGAAGCUGCACAGUGAGCAAUAAGUUCACUGACCAAAUCUACACACAAUUUCUGGUUUCGUCUGCCAUGAAGGAUGAACUCACAGCUCUCCAG